rnacentral:rRNA from 1 species
UAGGGAAUCUUCCACAAUGGGCGCAAGCCUGAUGGAGCAACACCGCGUGAGUGAAGAAGGGUUUCGGCUCGUAAAGCUCUGUUGUUGGAGAAGAACGUGCGUGAGAGUAACUGUUCACCGCAGUGACGGUAUCCAACCAGAAAGUCACGGCUAACUACGUGCCAGCG